AGCAGCCGCGGUAAUUCCAGCUCCAAUAGCGUAUAUUAAAGUUGUUGCAGUUAAAAAGCUCGUAGUUGAACUUCGGGGUUCACCCAUUGGUCAGGCUUAAUUGUCUGCACUGGUGAGAUGAGUCUCUACCUUCUGAGGAACUUUCAUGCCAUUUAUUUGGUGUGAUUGGAAAUCAGGACUGUUACUUUGAAAAAAUUAGAGUGUUUAAAGCAGGCUAACGUCUGAAUACAUUAGCAUGGAAUAAUGAAAUAGGACGGACUGAUUCUAUUUCGUUGGUUUCUAGGAUCACCGUAAUGAUUAAUAGGGAUAGUUGGGGGCAUUAGUAUUCAAUUGUCAGAGGUGAAAUUCUUGGAUUUAUUGAAGACUAACUACUGCGAAAGCAUUUGCCAAGGAUGUUUUCAUUAAUCAAGAACGAAAGUUAGGGGAUCGAAGACGAUCAGAUACCGUCGUAGUCUUAACCAUAAACUAUGCCGACUAGGGAUCGGACGAAGUUAAUUUUAUAAUGACGCGUUC
rnacentral:rRNA from 1 species